AACGUAGGAGACAAACGUUAUCCGGAGUUACUGGGCGUAAAGGGCGUGUAGGUGGUUUCGUAAGUCUGGCGUGAAAUUUUUCGGGCUUAACCGGGAAAGGUCGUCGGAUACUGCAGAACUAGAGGACGGUAGAGGCGUGUGGAAUUCCGGGUGGUAGUGGUGAAAUGCGUAGAGAUCCGGAGGAACACCAGCGGCGAAGGCGGCAUCCUGGACUGGUCCGUGACACUCGAGGAGCGAAAGCGUGGGGAGCGAUCCGG
rnacentral:rRNA from 1 species